AAAUGUUUAUUAUUACAUGAUUUCAAUUUUUUACCCAUCAAAAUAUUUUUUUAUAAAAUUAUAAAACUAUUUUUAAGAUCUAUUGAACGAGAAGACUUACAAAGAAGUCAUCAUAGAGAAGACUUAUUUAAUGGUAAAACUAAAUACAUUUUUUUGUUUGUUCAUAAAGGGGUUGUUGUAAUUCACUAGGCUUUUGGGUUACUUUUGCAUUUGAUUGAAUUUGGGGUACACUUUUGUAUUCAAAAUCAAGUUUUAAGUCAUUUUUGGCAAAUCUCCCUUAAUUUAUCUUGUUUUUACAGGUUUUUAAAUACAGGGUUCUUGUCUUUCCAGAAGUCUUUCAAAGUCUGACUCAGAUCUGAAAAACUUUCAAAUCCAAAAAUAUUCAAAUGGUUUCAAAACAGAGAAAAUGAGUUGAAAAUGAGAUAGAUUUACCUUUAUAGAACCACAAAAAUACAUAUCUAAAUUUCUAGAUCUACCAUUAAAAGAGUGGAAGAUGGGAACCAUGUAUACAAAAAUCUGCAAAAACAAGAUAAAUUAAUGAAAAAAUGAUAUAAAGUUUGAUGUUUUCAAGUUAAAAGAGAUUAUAGAGAGGCUGGAGAGUUUUAGAGUGAAAAACAUUACAUUUUUGUUACAGCCAUUUUAAAGGAAGAUAGAGAUGUGUAAAUUUUCUUUAUAUAGUGAAACAAAAAAAUUCAAUUAGAUUAAAUAUUUUUUGAUUCAGAAGACUUUCAGGGAAGUCUUUUAAACCCUAAAUUUACUAUUCGCCCAGGGAAGUCUUCUAGAACAUUAUUUGUUAGAAGACUUAACUAACCUAAACCCUAAAAUCAAAUAACUAACUAAACAUUAAUAAACACUUCAUUAAACUUAAAAUCAACUUUUAAAGUAUUUAAUAUACACAACACUAAAUGUGUAUGUGUCAAAUUUAAGAUCCAAAAUCUAACCCUAAAAUACAACAAUACUAUGAUAUACCCUUAACCAAAAAAUAUCAUGACUCAAUUUAUAUUCACUCAUCUAAAGUUAAAAAUAAUUCAAUUUUACUACAUCUUAAUUUAUAUCAUUUACAAGUGUUUAUAAUUACAUGAUUUCAAUUUUUUCCCCUACAAAAUAUUUUGUAUAAAAUUUAUAAAUUAUUUUAAGAUCAACUAUAUGAGAAGACUUCCAGGAAGUCGUCUCCCAGAAGACUUCCCGGGAUUAUAUUUGUAAAAAUGAAUUAUGUUUUUUGGUUUGGUCAUAAGAGGCUUGUUAUAAUUUCACAAGGCUUUUGAGUUUUUUAUGCAUUUGAUUGGAGUUUGACUUUUGUAUUAAAAAUCAAGUUUUGAGUCACAUUUGGCAUAUUUCUCAUAUUUUAUAUCUAAAAUAUACUCCCCCGUUUCAAAUUAGUUGUCACUGUAGCAUAAAAUAUUUGUUGCAAAAUAAGUAUCGUUUGAUUCUAAUGCAAUUUUUUCUAUUAAUUUAUAUUUUUACCUCUAAUUAAACUAAUAUAAAUAAUAAAUGCUAUGUAAUUAUAAUAUGGUCAAACAAGGACAAAUUUGAACGUUUAAUUAGUUUCUUAAUUUGUGUCCAAAGCUCUAAAAUGAUAACUAAUUUGAAACAAAUGGAAUAUUAUGUUUUCUAAAAUUACACAUAAACUAUACUACUAUCUUGUUAACUUUCAAAUUAAAAUUUUUUAGAUUAUUAAUUGCAACCCGAUUUUAUAUUUAUUAGGCAAGUUUAUUAGGCAAUUUAUCAUAUAUCGUAUAUUUGACCGCAAGUAUAAUUGCGUAGGAAUAUGUUUUAUUUUCGAUUAAACACAUAUAUUAAUAGGGGUGAUUUUUUUGUUAAGUUUCAAGAUUUUCUCCCCAUCAGAUAUUUGAUAGAUUAUAAAUGUUAUUUUUUGAAUUUCAGAAUAUUUACUAAUGGAAUAUAAUAUAAUAAAAAUAUAUCUAUUUACACAAUAUUAUUUUUCUCUCUCUUAAAUCUCUUCCAAAAGACAAUUCACCGGCGUUUACUCCUUCCUCCGAUAGUGGCACCUUGUCGUGGCCGGCGGAUUCUCUUCCCCCUCUCUCGUUUUUAUCUUUGCUUCUUCCACUCCUUUAACUCCUUCUCUGAUAUAUCAAGAUUCUAGUAAGUUUGCUCUUGGUCAGUUUCUUAGAUCUGGGUCGCCGCAUACGUAUUUGCUAGGAGGUAGGCUCCACCGGAGUGGCGGUGAGGCUAAAGAGCUUAGGCAGUGGUGAGUUUGGCUUUUUCGGUAGUAAAAUAUAGAUCGACGAUUACACUUUUGCUCGAUUUGGAUUCUAUCGGAGCUCUGGUGGCGCGUGAGUCUUCAGAAGGGCUCACCCGGUUCAGAUCUUCUCAGAUCUUCCUCGGUGUGGAGCUGAAGUGUCGGCUCAUCAUCCUCCGCUUUUUGUGUCUCGGUGUAGGAGGAGUCUGCUACUGUGCUCAGGUUGGACUUCAGCGGUGGUCUCCGUCAAGGCACUCGCUGGCUUCGCUUCUUCUGGCGGUGUCGUUAGAAGCCUCUCAGUGGCGCGUGUGGAGUGCUCUGGUGUGACGGCGCGUGGAGUUGUCUAUGCUUUAGCGUCAUUAUCUGGUUCCUCUUCUCCGGUCUUCGCUCUUCUGUCCCGGUUUUGGUUCGUUGUUCUUUCUCGCCAUAAGUGCAUAUUCUUGGUGUAGAAUUGUCGGGGUUGUGUUCUUCAUGUUUGUGAGCCCCUGUCUGUCACCGGUUGGCUUUGGUUCUGAGAGGUCGAACUUUCCUCUUGUUCUAAGAGGUGGAAUGUGUGGACUUGUUGGUGUGUUUUGUGAGUCGGGGGCGUUUUCGUUCCUGUUUCCCUCCACAAGCAAAGUGGCAAGAGCUCAAUCCGGUCUUUGUCUGUUGUUGGGAGAACGCGCCUUGGCGUCGUCCUGUCUUCAGGUAUGAAUCUCUCGGGUCUUGUCUAACCAGCUAAGGGUUUCAUGUCAACAAAGAUUACGAGCGUAAUGUAAUUGUCAAGAACGAGCUACUCUGUUGACGAUAUGAGAUGUACUGGCAGCCGAAGAAACAAGGUGAAUACCACCCUCAAAUGUGUACUACCAUCAACGAUUGAGAACGGCAAUUGACAAUCAAAGGAUAAUGAAACUACUUAGCAGAACGCGCCGGUAUAGUCAUAAUUGAGCGAAGGUAGGAUGGUAAGUUAGAAUGAGAUUAUUUUGUUCGAAUUUGUUUAUAAUCAACGUUUGAAUACCUGGUUUCCGGGUAGAUAAAUAAAGUUAAUAUAUAUAAAAAUAUAUUGUAAUAUUAGUGUGAAAUCAAGGGAAAAUUAUAGUUAACCUGAAAAA